AUACUUACCUGGCAGGGGAGACACCAUGAUCAGGAAGGUGGUUCACCCAGGGCGAGGCUCUGCCAUUGCACUGCGGCAGUGUUGACCUUUGCGAUUCCCCAAA
rnacentral:snRNA from 1 species